GAUUCUAUGGGUGAAGGCGCGUUGCAAAUGGAUAGACGAGUUGGUGACGGAGGGGGAUUUCGGUAUGAAAUUGUUGUACCUUGGUAAGGUGCGGCGUGUAGGGAGUACGGCAUGGAGGUCUUUCCCCGUAUGUUCACUGCGUGGGUGCCACUUUGUGUCCGUUCGUGAUGUAGUGAUGUCGUACAUAUGUUCGGAGCAAAGUUUCUUGCUGUGGGUGUUUUGUGGCGCGGUGUUUUUCUCCUGUCGUGCCGGCAAGCAGCAACAGCGACAACGACAGCAAGGUCGAGCUCCAGCCCGUACACCAGCAAAUUGGCCAGGUCGGCCCAGUUCCACAAGCGCCUCAAGCCGUUGCCUCUCCUGCAUUAGUCAGAAACAUGUCGGGCAUACCAGUCAAUACAUAUCGCCGUCGAGAAGGGCACUAUCAGUGAGGUGAUCCAUUGGCGCACUAGGUAGUCACCAGCCCGGGUAGUCACCGAGGUUGCGCCGUGGUCACCUGACAUGUUAUAAAAGGAAAGCUGCUUCUUACCUGUAUUGGAGAAUUGGCGACGGUGACGGCUAACGCAGAUUGUUAUCUCGGAAGAAUUGCCGGUGGCGAAGAUAUUUAGCACGAUAAAAUGUUACAAGUUAUGUAAAGAGUAUUAUUAGCGUUCGGCAGGACUUGAGGAGAUUCCUUUGAGGAAUACCGAUCAUAGUGAGAUAAACAAAUAAGCGCAGUCACCGACCUAAAUACCGGCGCUAGCGGAAAACUCGUACAUUCCGCGAUCUAACUGCACGUACAUUCCGCGAUCUCACUGCGCCGUCCUGAUGGUGCCCAAAUGUCUAUCACUUAGCUACCGGAUAUGCAUCGGUAGCCCAUAAGGUUCUGGGGUAAGACUUCCCCAUUAGUCAGGCGUAGACCCGGGGUCAAAUCCCCUGGUCGACAACCACACGAGUUGGGAGAGGACCGUUUCCUCAACAACCUGAGUUGGUUGGCGCUCAUGCUCCUGAUCGUGGCAGCCAUAUGCACCAGUAACCCCAGCCAUGUUUCUUGCAGGCUCCUGAUCGUGGCAGCCAUAUGCACCAGUAACCUCAGC
rnacentral:lncRNA from 1 species